rnacentral:lncRNA from 1 species
GGGCUGCAGUGGGGGAAGAGGAGCUAUGACCUGUGGUACGCUUCCUCAUAAAUGUUUAACAACUUGUUCUUCACGGAGAAAAAAGGCCUACUUGAAAUAUUUGCUGGUUUUUGUGGAGUGAAUCCUCCCUCCAUGGCCAAUUUCAAGCUACCAAGGUGAAGUCAGUGAAGGUGGAGUUGGGAAGAGACGCGGAGUAGCACAGCUUUAUCUAUGAUUUCCAUCACACAAACCCAAUGGACACUGGCCAAUACUGUUUCCUGGAUGCAGAUCGGCUUUGGGAAUUGCUGGGCAAACACCACUAACACCAAACUGCCUGAGUUGCAGAACCUGCCCUGCCGUUUCAGACUUCUCUGCCUGUAAUCCAUCAGCCACUUCAUCCUUAAAAACCCAGCUCAAAGCUCACCUCCAUCAGGAAGCAUCCUCAGCCCCCAGAAAUAAGUGGUCACUGAACACACAGCAAGAUAGAUGGUAGCCACCUAUAAGCCAAAAGAAGAGGCCUCACAAUUAAACCUAUCUUGCUGGAACCUUGAUCUUGAACUUCCAUCCUCCAGAACUGUGAGAAAUAAGAUUCUGUUCUUUAAGCCACCCCGUCUAUGAUAUUUUGUUAUGGCAGCCUGAGUUGACUAAUAUAUAUAAUAUGAAUAUAUAGUAAUGUAAUAAUUAUAAGAAGAAGAACGUACUUUGUGUGUUCCAGGCAUUGUUCUAGCCAUUUUGUAUGGAUUAGCUCACAUAAUCUUUAAAACAACACAUGCUGUAGCUACUAUUGUCUUCAUUUAACAAAUAAAGCAACUAAAGUUCAGAGAGAUUAUGUCUUUCUUUUAGAAAUGAUGAACCUGAAGUCGAUAAAGGUUAAGAAAUGCACACAAGUCACACAGCAGACUUGAGGUUUGUGACUUGGCUCUGUGGGGCUGUAUGCCCUUUGCUCCUAAUCCCUACGUGACCCGGUGCCUGCCCUAAAGGGGAUUAAAACCUUAAUGUCCCAUUCAGGGCUGCUGAAGAACUUUGGGAUGUUUUGCUUGGAAAUAUGUGGUAGCUGCCUCA